rnacentral:rRNA from 1 species
AGAGUUUGAUCCUGGCUCAGGACGAACGCUGGCGGCGUGCCUAAUACAUGCAAGUCGAACGAACCGCGACUAGGUGCUUGCACUUGGUCAAGGUGAGUGGCGAACGGGUGAGUAACACGUGGGUAACCUACCUCAUAGUGGGGGAUAACAGUCGGAAACGACUGCUAAUACCGCAUAGGACAUGGAAUCACAUGAUUCUGUGAGGAAAGGUGGCGCAAGCUAUCGCUAAGAGAUGGACCCGCGGUGCAUUAGCUAGUUGGUAGGGUAACGGCCUACCAAGGCGAUGAUGCAUAGCCGACCUGAGAGGGUGAUCGGCCACAUUGGGACUGAGACACGGCCCAAACUCCUACGGGAGGCAGCA